rnacentral:rRNA from 1 species
AGAGUUUGAUCCUGGCUCAGAUUGAACGCUGGCGGCAUGCUUUACACAUGCAAGUCGGACGGCAGCACAGAGAAGCUUGCUUCUUGGGUGGCGAGUGGCGAACGGGUGAGUAACAUAUCGGAACGUACCGAGCAGUGGGGGAUAACUAAUCGAAAGAUUAGCUAAUACCGCAUAUUUUCUGAGGAAGAAAGCAGGGGACCAUUUGGCCUUGCGCUGUUUGAGCGGCCGAUAUCUGAUUAGCUAGUUGGUGGGGUAAAGGCCUACCAAGGCGACGAUCAGUAGCGGGUCUGAGAGGAUGAUCCGCCACACUGGGACUGAGACACGGCCCAGACUCCUACGGGAGGCAGCAGUGGGGAAUAUUGCACAAUGGGCGCAAGCCUGAUGCAGCGACGCCGCGUGGGGGAUGACGGCCUUCGGGUUGUAAACUCCUUUCGUUAGGGACGAAGCCACACUUUUUUUGGGUGUGGUGACGGUACCUUUGUUAAGAAGCACCGGCUAACUACGUGCCAGCAGCCGCGGUAAUACGUAGGGUGCGAGCGUUAAUCGGAAUUACUGGGCGUAAAGCGGGCGCAGACGGUUACUUAAGCAGGAUGUGAAAUCCCCGGGCUCAACCUGGGAACUGCGUUCUGAACUGGGUGACUAGAGUGUGUCAGAGGGAGGUAGAAUUCCACGUGUAGCAGUGAAAUGCGUAGAGAUGUGGAGGAAUACCGAUGGCGAAGGCAGCCUCCUGGGAUAACACUGACGUUCAUGCCCGAAAGCGUGGGUAGCAAACAGGAUUAGAUACCCUGGUAGUCCACGCCCUAAACGAUGUCGAUUAGCUGUUGGGCAGCAUGACUGCUUAGUAGCGAAGCUAACGCGUGAAAUCGACCGCCUGGGGAGUACGGUCGCAAGAUUAAAACUCAAAGGAAUUGACGGGGACCCGCACAAGCGGUGGAUGAUGUGGAUUAAUUCGAUGCAACGCGAAGAACCUUACCUGGUCUUGACAUGUACGGAACCCUCCAGAGACGGAGGGGUGCCUUCGGGAGCCGUAACACAGGUGCUGCAUGGCUGUCGUCAGCUCGUGUCGUGAGAUGUUGGGUUAAGUC